CUAAUGAAACCCAGUUGUGAUGAAGACUUGGAGAAAUGAAAGUAAGUCAACAUCUGAGUCUCCUCCUCCUGACUGCAGAGGUGGCUUCAUGACAGACAACUGUUUGAUUCCAGCUGUGAACAUCAGACCAACAACUCACAACACUUAUUCAUCCUGAACCUUCUAAAACAGCAUUUUACCUCUGCAGACAUGGAAAAACUCACUGCAGUUCUGUUCUGCUUCUCUCUCAUAGGUAACACGAUGGAAGAUGAGGUUACUGCCAGCAGUGCUGAAGUGUUUUCAUCAGAGGGCCGUAGUGCUACUCUGUCCUGUACCUAUUCAGUUAAAGCUGAUAAUCUCCAGUGGUAUCGACAGGAUCCUGGAUCAGCUCCUCAGUUCCUUCUCCUGAUCACUGAUACUAAACUGCCUUCAGUAGUGGAAGCAAAACCUCCUCACCCUCGACUGACUGCUAUGCUGAAUGAGGAGAGAAAUCAAGUUGAUCUGCAGAUCUCCUCAGCUAAGCUGUCUGACUCUGCUGUGUACUACUGUGCUCUGAGGCC